AAGCAAGAAAUUCACUUAUAUAUAAACACGUAAAAAAAUAAUUUUUAUAUAUUUUUAUCAAUUUUAUCGUAUUUUUCUUAUUAUUAUUUUUCCUGUCAGUAAAGCAAACCUUAUAAGUAUUUUUUUCUGAAGAAUUACGCAUUUUUUUUUUCUUCUUCUUCUUUUUAACGCUUAGAAUGACAGCUAAAUGGACUGUGAACGGAUAAUUAUAUUAUGAGUUAACAUCUUAUUCCAUAUUCUUGUUGUUAUAGUAACAAUUGUGGCAUUCGCUUCGGGGAAAGUCGAUAAUUGCAUAAAGAGCGAAAGGUAAUGGUUUAAUCACCGACGGUUUUUUUUUUAUUUUUAUGUAUGUAUAAUAUGUAUAAGAACAUGUUCAGAAGUUGGAUUAAAGUAAAUUUCCAAUAUGCUUUAUUCAUAAAAGCAUAUUCUUAUUGAUUACAUAUAUAUAUAUAGAGAGAGAGAGGGAAAGAGAGAGAGAGAGAAUGUCAGUAUUGAUCGCGUCAUCUAUAACAUCCUGCUUUCGACUUAAUUUCCCUUUUUUAAUAUCGAAAGAAGGUAGAAAAUCAUUUGGAAUGAAGCCAGAAAGUUGUUUACUAAAGCAUAUUAGCGCUUUAUGACAGACGUUAAUCGUUACAAAAAAGUAUUAUCUUCAUUCGAAUCAUCUGACUGCCUUUGCGAUUGUCAACAAGUUGUUGGCAACAUACAAAAGUUCCGGAUUCUUCUCUAUCUUUUCCACUUACAUCUCUAUCGUUUUUGGUCAGAAUCUUUUUUUUUUUUUUUUUCUUUCUUUCUUCUUCCAAUAGCAAUUUAUAAAUAUAGAGUCUGCUGUUAAUUGUUGCUGGUGGCGAAUUUGUUUUAAUUUAUUCGCAAACAACCGAGGCAUGACCUUGUUUUCGCAAUGUCGCACACGCACACGCAACGUCUAAAGUUAAAAUGUUCUAAACCGCAUUUAUUAAAGCGAAAUAAAAAAAAAAAAUGUAGUAAAUCGUUUAUUUUAUACCCACUUUAGUUUAUUUUUAACACGAAAUAUCGCCCAAAUAAAUAUUUUCGACCAUAAAAUUCGGUAAAAGAAAAAAUAUAUAUGUAUUCCGAAUUAUAAGGCGCGCAUCUUCGAAUUUUGUGCGUCAUUAAAAUCUGAAUGGUCGACUUAGUAUUUAGAUGUCGAAUAAAGAAUUUUAUCGUUAUUUUUGAAGUAGAAAAACAAUAAAAAAAAAAAAGGAAGGUUGAACAGUUCGUAACCUAAAUAUUAUUCAAGGUUGUUACGAAUACCGGUCAAGGUUUAUUAUCGUUCGCAUCUCUUAAACAAAACCAGAUAUAUAUAAGAAAAUUUUUAUACUUUGAAACAUUUAUUCAUUAUCAUAAAUAUUUAGAUUAAUGUCCUCAAUAAAAUAACAAUAAACAAGUAGUAAACAUUUUGCAAAACUUCAAAAAGAUAUCUUUUAAAAUUACCUUCGUACAAACUUGACAGAUAUCGAGAAUUAUGUUGCC
rnacentral:lncRNA from 1 species